rnacentral:rRNA from 1 species
AACGCGAAGAACCUUACCUGGGUUUGACAUGCACCAGACAUCCCUAGAGAUAGGGCUUCCCUUGUGGUUGGUGUGCAGGUGGUGCAUGGUUGUCGUCAGCUCGUGUCGUGAGAUGUUGGGUUAAGUCCCGCAACGAGCGCAACCCUUGUUCCAUGUUGCCAGCGGGUAAUGCCGGGGACUCAUGGGAGACUGCCGGGGUCAACUCGGAGGAAGGUGGGGAUGACGUCAAAUCAUCAUGCCCCUUAUGUCCAGGGCUUCACACAUGCUACAAUGGCCAGUACAGAGGGCUGCGAGACCGUGAGGUGGAGCGAAUCUCUUAAAGCUGGUCUCAGUUCGGAUUGGGGUCUGCAACUCGACCCCAUGAAGUUGAGUCGCUAGUAAUCGCAGAUCAGCAACGCUGCGGUGAAUACGUUCCCGGGCCUUGUACACACC